AUCUCAGUACUUCCCAAGCCACAGGACGGAGUGUGGGAGCGAAGCCCCUUCAUCAAAGCACCAGAAAGAUGUCAGCAGAAAAACAAACAGAUGGAACUUCGGACAGCCAAAUCCAGUGAGGUGUGAGCUAACCUCCCCACCCAGUCAUGUGCUUACACAUGGGAACAAAACCCAAGAGGGUGGCCAGCCUUCAGCCCAGUGCCCAGGGAUGAAACAUGGCCCAAGAAAUAACACCACCACCAUCAGCUGUCCAUGCUUCCACCUCAAGCACUGAGCAAGAUCCUCUGGCAAAUGACCUCACUGGGAGGUAAAGAGGAAAGCGCUAUUGUCAACUCCAUUCUUCAGAGUAUCUGAGCCCAAGGGACACUCCCGUGUGAUUUGGUCUCCCUAACCGCUCCCCUACCUCCCUUCAAGUUAAUGUUGGAGCUUCUCCAGGGCUGACUUGGGAGAGGAGCCGGCAGACCGGGCCAGUGCACCCUCUUGGCAGGAAGCCUGCGUGUGGGAAAUAAAUCCCAGGUUUGUCUACUUCCAAAACACAUUCUUUUCACUACACCAUGAGGCCUGAAUAGACGCAUGUGGCCUACAAGUAUAUUCUCUUUAGCCAUCUGAGAAAGAACAAAACUCAUUUGAGCAGCUUUCUGCAGCCCUUUUCUCCUCCCCUUGGUGGGAAUGAGUGACGGGAACAGAGAAUACAGUCCUUCCUCUACCCGCCAGAAUGUCUGCUUGCAGCCAGCAUUUCACAGAUGAAUGCUGAAGAAAAUGUCUUAGCUGCAUCCAGGGAAUUUCAAGUGCUUUCCUCCUGUUUCUGAGGGAAAACAAACAAACAAACAAACAAACAAAAACUGUCUUUUUCUGCAGCAAAGCCCCAGGAAUUGGCGGUGUAAAGGGCUUGUGAGCUGGGAAUCAUGUGCCCUCUAGUGGUCAUCUCUAGGAAGUCCCAACCAGAUGGUCAUUUCCACAGAAAACAGCAGGAGGAACCGCUACAGAGUAUGGGAGACAAGAAGAGAAUGCCUCCUAACACCUACAUAAUAAGCUGUAAUGGUGGAAAGCCAUUUGCUUUUGAAUUUUAUUGAAAAUGCCAAAUACAGGUCGUGAAUAUUGAAAUGGACGUCUGAGCGGUGCACAAAUCCUCGCAGGUCUUACUGAAGCUUCCCAGGAUUAGCUUCCCAGCACAGAGCUCCUAAGGCUUGAUUGGGUUUGCAAAGCAAGGAUGCUGAGCUGGAGAAAAUCAACUAGCCAGAAGUCAUCUUGGGAAGGGAAAGUUAUUUCUGAUGGGAAAAUAUUUGAUAAGAAGCUGAUGCCUGUGUGGACAGAAUGGUCUAGGGUUUGUUUUUGUUUGGUUGGUUUUUUUGUUUUGUUUUGUUUCUUUUUUGUUUUUGAAAUGGAGUCUCGCUCUGUUGCCCAGGCUGGAGUGCAGUGGUGCAAUCUCGGUUCACUGCAACCUCCACUUCCCAGGUUCAAGCCAUUCUCCUGCCUCAGCCUCCCGAAUAGCUGGGAUUACAGGCGCCUGCCACCAGGCCCGACUAAUUUUUGUAUUUUUAGUAGAGAGGUGAUCCACCCGCCUCAGCCUCCCAAAGUGCUGGGAUUAUAGGUGUGAGCCACUGUGCCUGGCCUGUUCUAUUUUAUUAUUAUUGUUAUUCAUCUCUUAUUGUGCCUAGUUUAUACAUUAAACUUUAUCGUAGGUACAUAUAUAUAGCAAAAGACAUAAUAUAUAUAUGGUUCAGGCAUCCACUGGGGGUCUUGGAAUGUAUCACCCACAGAUAAAGGGAAACUAUUGUAACUUCAGUUGAGAAAAGCUCAUAGUCAAAUGCUUCUCUCUGACUUAACGUACUGCCCAUCUAUUGGUACUAGAAAAGUCAAUGUUAUAACAGCCCUAAAACUGCCAACACAUGUGAAAAAUAUUUAGCUUUUUGUCUAACGAUGGGACCCAACUGACCAAAUAAAACCCAAAUAAAGGACCUGUAACUGCUCAUAUCUUUCAUGUGUGCCUGCAAGCAAAUUUUAUAUUCCUUCCCACUGAGAUUUCUUUCUUUCAAAAUAUUCCAGGUAUGUGGCUUCAAAGCAUGUGGCAUCUGACAUGUGGACACAUUGAGAGUAGGAUGAGAUUGUAUUUACCUUUGCCUUGCUGGAGCUUAGCACCUUUGUGGUGUCUUUUGAUAAAUGGGAAGUGACAAAUGUUCUCACGUGGGCAGCAGGAAGGAUUCAUAUGCUCCUCCAAUUUUACAGCAACAGACAACAAAUGAAAAGGAAGGGCUUAGUCAUGCAGGGGCACACUCUCACCUCAUCACUAGAUGACAGUGCAGCACCCCAGACUCACAGCUUGCCCAUAAGUCUUGCAUUUAGUGCAUGAGGAUUCCAUUCAGAUGCCACCGAAUGCCAUUUCCAUGAUCUGGACUGACUUUUCUUUUUUCAGGCACAAUAAAGUAAAGACAAUUUGGAGUCAUUUGCCUUGUUUCUUCAAUAAAAGAAAGACUUGGAUUUACACAGCC
rnacentral:lncRNA from 10 species